UACGAAGGGGGCUAGCGUUGCUCGGAAUUACUGGGCGUAAAGGGCGCGUAGGCGGCUUUGCAAGUCGGAUGUGAAAUCCCUCGGCUUAACCAAGGAAGUGCAUCCGAAACUGCAGAGCUUGAGUACUUAAGAGGAUCGCGGAAUUCCCGGUGUAGAGGUGAAAUUCGUAGAUAUCGGGAGGAACACCAGUGGCGAAGGCGGCGAUCUGGGAAGAUACUGACGCUGAGGUGCGAAAGCGUGGGGAGCAAACAGG
rnacentral:rRNA from 1 species